GACGAACGCUGGCGGCGUGCUUAACACAUGCAAGUCGAGCGGUAAGGCCCCUUCGGGGGUACACGAGCGGCGAACGGGUGAGUAACACGUGAGCAAUCUGCCCAUCACAUCGGGAUAACUCCGGGAAACCGAAGCUAAUACUGAAUACGACCACCUCCGGCAUCGGAUGGUGGUGGAAAGUUCCGGCGGUGAUGGAUGAGCUCGCGGCCUAUCAGCUUGUUGGUGGGGUAACGGCCCACCAAGGCUUCGACGGGUAGCCGGCCUGAGAGGGUGACCGGCCACACUGGGACUGAGACACGGCCCAGACUCCUACGGGAGGCAGCAGUGGGGAAUAUUGGACAAUGGGCGGAGGCCUGAUCCAGCAACGCCGCGUGGGGGAUGACGGCCUUCGGGUUGUAAACCUCUUUCAGCAGGGACGAAGCGCAAGUGACGGUACCUGCAGAAGAAGCACCGGCCAACUACGUG
rnacentral:rRNA from 1 species